rnacentral:rRNA from 1 species
UACGUAGGUGGCAAGCGUUGUCCGGAUUUAUUGGGUUUAAAGGGUGCGUAGGCGGCUUAUUAAGUCAGUGGUGAAAUACUCUAGCUCAACUAGAGGGGUGCCAUUGAUACUGAUGAGCUUGAGUACAGAUGAGGUAGGCGGAAUUGACGGUGUAGCGGUGAAAUGCUUAGAUAUCGUCAAGAACACCUAUAGCGAAGGCAGCUUACUAGGCUGUAACUGACGCUGAGGUGCGAAAGCGUGGGGAGCGAACAGG